rnacentral:lncRNA from 1 species
AAGGCAUACUGACCCAAAACUGAAGAAGCAGGAACACUCAACAAGGUUCACCUGCUAUCAGAAACUAAGAACCUGAAAUAAUAUUAAGAAUGAGGGGUGAGUUCAACCAACUCAGUGAGGGAAUAAUAAUUAAUAUACAUUUUAGAUAUUCUUGAUAUUUAUAGUUCGCAAGAUCAUUUAUCUUGAUAUACAUAUACAUAUACAUACUAAACUUAUCAUAUACAUAUCAUAUACAUAUCAUAUACAUACUAAACGUAUCAUCAUAACGUAGUGGACUAUAUGUCAGAGAUCAGAUGACACCCGAAGGUGACCAGAUGACACCCGAAGGUGACCAGACCAGAUGACACCCGAAGGUGACCACUGUGGGAUGAUCAGUCGCCACAGGCUGAUGCCUCUCUCACCAGCUAGGUAUACAUACAUAAUACUAUGUGCACACAGGCUAACUACUCUCCGUUAGCAUGGAGUUACUGACAAGUCCCAUAUCAAGGCAUAAUAGAUAUUCACAUAAUCAUCAAAGAAACGUAUAUCAUAUCAAAUAGGAUUUACUUUGACAGAUUGCGAGUGCAAAUUCAAGAAUAAAUGAGUACUCGGAAAAUAAGCAACAUAUAUAAUUAUUCAAGAAAUUAACGAGUUGUACUCAUUGUAUAAUCAACAUACAUAUUUACUUAUCAUAUAUGCAUAUUAAAGAUUAUUCCACUCACCCGGAAAAUAUAGAACUAAAAGGAAUGUCAGACGAAAGACCCGAAAAUCCUAUUGAGGAUCAUUAGGAGAACCUACAACAAUAUAUGAAAUAUACUCAAAAAUAACUCAAACA